AGAGUUUGAUCCUGGCUCAGAUUGAACGCUGGCGGCAUGCCUUACACAUGCAAGUCGAACGGUAGCACGAGAGCUUGCUCUUGGUGGCGAGUGGCGAACGGGUGAGUAAUAUAUCGGAACGUACCCUAGAGUGGGGGAUAACGUAGCGAAAGUUACGCUAAUACCGCAUACGAUCUACGGAUGAAAGUGGGGGAUCGCAAGACCUCAUGCUCAUGGAGCGGCCGAUAUCUGAUUAGCUAGUUGGUGGGGUAAAAGCUCACCAAGGCGACGAUCAGUAGCUGGUCUGAGAGGACGACCAGCCACACUGGAACUGAGACACGGUCCAGACUCCUACGGGAGGCAGCAGUGGGGAAUUUUGGACAAUGGGCGCAAGCCUGAUCCAGCAAUGCCGCGUGAGUGAAGAAGGCCUUCGGGUUGUAAAGCUCUUUUGUCAGGGAAGAAACGGUGGACUCUAAUACAGAUCACUAAUGACGGUACCUGAAGAAUAAGCACCGGCUAACUACGUGCCAGCAGCCGCGGUAAUACGUAGGGUGCAAGCGUUAAUCGGAAUUACUGGGCGUAAAGCGUGCGCAGGCGGUUGUGCAAGACAGAUGUGAAAUCCCCGGGCUCAACCUGGGAAUUGCAUUUGUGACUGCACGGCUAGAGUGUGUCAGAGGGGGGUAGAAUUCCACGUGUAGCAGUGAAAUGCGUAGAGAUGUGGAGGAAUACCGAUGGCGAAGGCAGCCCCCUGGGAUAACACUGACGCUCAUGCACGAAAGCGUGGGGAGCAAACAGGAUUAGAUACCCUGGUAGUCCACGCCCUAAACGAUGUCUACUAGUUGUCGGGUCUUAAUUGACUUGGUAACGCAGCUAACGCGUGAAGUAGACCGCCUGGGGAGUACGGUCGCAAGAUUAAAACUCAAAGGAAUUGACGGGGACCCGCACAAGCGGUGGAUGAUGUGGAUUAAUUCGAUGCAACGCGAAAAACCUUACCUACCCUUGACAUGUCUGGAAUCCUUGAGAGAUCAGGGAGUGCUCGAAAGAGAAUCAGAACACAGGUGCUGCAUGGCUGUCGUCAGCUCGUGUCGUGAGAUGUUGGGUUAAGUCCCGCAACGAGCGCAACCCUUGUCAUUAGUUGCUACGAAAGGGCACUCUAAUGAGACUGCCGGUGACAAACCGGAGGAAGGUGGGGAUGACGUCAAGUCCUCAUGGCCCUUAUGGGUAGGGCUUCACACGUCAUACAAUGGUACAUACAGAGGGCCGCCAACCCGCGAGGGGGAGCUAAUCCCAGAAAGUGUAUCGUAGUCCGGAUUGUAGUCUGCAACUCGACUACAUGAAGUUGGAAUCGCUAGUAAUCGCGGAUCAGCAUGUCGCGGUGAAUACGUUCCCGGGUCUUGUACACACCGCCCGUCGCACCAUGGGAGCGGGUUUCACCAGAAGUGGGUAGCCUAACCGCAAGGAGGGCGCUCACCACGGUGGGAUUCGUGACUGGGGUGAAGUCGUACAAGGUA
rnacentral:rRNA from 1 species